GGUUGCUAGAGCAAUCUGACAAUGACAUCUGUCACUCCACUUAUUCCAGGUUUGAUUCAAGGGAUUUAGCUGGCUGGAAGAUGUCCAGUCAUUCCUUUACUGUUCUAUAUUUGUCAUUCUGUUGCAGGCAUUGGCUGUAUCUUCAGGAUGUUGCCCAAGUCAAAGAGGUUGAUACUCCUGGAUAGAGGAGGACCACACUAGUCCAAGCAAUACAAUUGGCUGAAUGUUCCUGUUAGGACCUUGAAACAAACAUUUGAGGUUCAUAUGCAAAUGUUAAUUUGAGUUCAAAUUUUUACUUGUAAAAUAUUAAAUGCAUUGCAAAUGUGAUGAGACCUUUUUU
rfam:Heterocephalus glaber contig59510, whole genome shotgun sequence.